rnacentral:rRNA from 1 species
AUACGGAGGGUGCAAGCGUUACUCGGAAUUACUGGGCGUAAAGGACGCGUAGGCGGUUUAGAAAGUCAGAUGUGAAAGCCUAUGGCUUAACCAUAGAACUGCAUUUGAAACUUCCAAACUAGAGUGGGGGAGAGGUCAGUGGAAUUAGUGGUGUAGGGGUAAAAUCCGUAGAGAUCACUAGGAAUACUCAUAGCGAAGGCGACUGACUGGAACUUUACUGACGCUGAGGCGUGAAAGCGUGGGGAGCAAACAGGAUUAGAAACCCCAGUAGUCC